AGCCUGUGGUAGCUUACCACAGGCUGCAUUCUUACACUGACUGUAUAGAAGGAGGAGGCAAAAUAACCUACCCCAUGUACACCUCAGCCCAGGCCCUAUGCUUGGUCUGUAUCAUGAAUGGGGAGACAUGG
rnacentral:snoRNA from 1 species